rnacentral:misc_RNA from 1 species
AAGUCGUAACAAGGUCUCCGUAGGUGAACCUGCGGAGGGAUCAUUAACACGUAAUCUCACGAUUACAAACCAAAAACCACGCGAUCUUUGUCUUCUGUCUGAGAUAGGAUGCACUUCGAGAUGAUAUGGGUUUUAGAGCGCUCGUUGUGUGUCAUACCAAACUGUCUUGGAAUAGAAGUAAAACUAAUUGUUUUACCUCUAAAACCUAAACUUAACCCCAAUAACCCCUUUUUUAUACAUCUAACACUGAUUUUCUCAUUCUUGUCGAAAGGCUUGAGUGAUGGUUUUACGAAACCUAGUACAACUCUUAGCAGUGGAUAUCUUGGCUCCCGU